rnacentral:lncRNA from 1 species
UCAAAAAAAAAAAAAAAAAAAAGUGUAUGUGAGGAAACUGGGAUAGAGCUUGGGGAUAUUGGGGGAUGGAGAUACUUCAUCUACUGAACAAAAACCAUGGGAUACCAAUGCUGGAGGAAGAAGCAUCAUCCUCAGUUUCUACUAACUCAACCACGCAUGAGAUGGGGACUUGGUGUCCAAGAGCAGAGCCUCUUUUUAGGUCUUCAGCCUUGAUCAAACCAUUUCUGAAUUCCUCAUACACAUAUAAUCAGGUACUAUGAGUGCUACUGAUUGGAUAAUCUUUCUGUCGUUUCCUGUGCUAGGAAGGAAAAUGCAUGUACAGCUAACUUCCUUGAGGGUUCGUUCUUUUGCAUCAGGGUGUCUCAAGCUCCUGCUCUUAAAACACCUGCAAGAGAAUCAUCCAGGCGGCUUGCUCGCUCUGUAUGCAGACCCUUUAGAAUCAGAAUCAGAAUCCCUGGGGCUGGAGCCACAAAAUGAAAUGACAUUUCAACAAGUUUGUCAUCACGUAAGAGAGAAUAGCUUGUCUUCUUCUCUCCCAGUAGUUUCUUCAUGAAGAGGCCAUGUACUAUAUUCCAUGAGAUAUUUCAAACUCAAAGAAGACUUCUUUUAUACUCUUUUGAUAAUUUGUCUGGGAAUCACUGUCUUGAUUUAUAAGAGGGUUUAUAAUAAAUACAGUAAAAGAGAAACACAACAUAUUUUGAGACAUCAGAGAAGGGAGAAACCAAUUCUAUUAAUAUUUGGGGUUAGCAGGGAAGGCUUAGUUAAGAGGUAACAUUUGACCUAAGUCUUGAAAUAAGGGAAGGAUUUGGACAUGCAGUAAUGUGGAGAGAGUAGAAGCAAGACAUGAUGGUUAGUGUUAUGUAUCAAUUUGACUGGGUUGUGGGGUGCCCAGAUAUUUGGCUACACAUUAUUCUGGGUGUGUCUCUGAGGUAUUCUGGAUGAGGAUAACAUUUAAUUGGUAGACUGAAUAAAGCAGAUUGUCCUCCCCAAUGUGGGUAAGCCUCAUCCAAUCCACUGAAGGCCUGAACAAAACAAAAAGGUAGAGUCACAGAGAAUUUGCUCUUUUUACCUGAUUAUAUUUGAGUUGGGACAUCAAUAUUCUCCUGACUUUAGAUAUGGACUCGAGUUGGAACUCUGUCAUUGGCUGUCCUGGGUCUCCAGCUUGCUGGCUGCAGACUCCAGGACUCCUUAGCCUCCAUAACCAUGUGAGCCAUCCCUUAAAACAAAUCAGUCUGUCUCUGUCUAUGUGUAUAGCUCUACCUCUAUCUCUCUGUUCUUUCUCUGGAGAACCUAGAAUAAUACACAAGGUUAUAUUAGAGAAGAAGAUGACCCAAGGAAAAGCAUGGAGUCAGAAAAGUGCAAAGAGGGUUUGGGAAGACUGGGGUCCUGAUGGGGAGUUUGGAUUUCUCUGUGUGUAGCAUGGAGAAUCCUUGAAAAUAGUCAAGAGGUGAAAAUUGUAUCUGUGGAAGAACACCAGGAGUAUGUGAAAAGAAAAACAUUCACUCCGUUUUAACUCCACUGAAGGGGGCAUCAAAAGGAUACACUGGGGACAUGGGUUGGAGGGUAGUUGAGGCCAUAUCUGGAGGAUCUUUACUUCUAGGCUGAGUCUGAAUUUAUCUUUCUGGGGAGUGGGAGAUUAAAAAUCUUUGAGCUCCACUCAAGAGAUGGUUUUGCUAACAAUGGCAGGGCGACGGUGGUGGUGGUGGUGGUGGGAAACUGGUAGCAUGAAUUCUAAUUGGGCUUCUGUUAUUCCAGCCGAGAAAGUUGGGGAAUGGACUUUCAGUAGAAUAAUACAGACCUGGGAAUCAACUGCAUGGAGGAGGUAGUUAUAGGUGAUGAGAUGGCUCAGGGACAAAGUUGUGUAGAAGGAGAAAAGAUACUAGUCUGGUACAAAAAUAAUUGCUGUUUUUGCCAUUACUUUUAAUGGCAAAAUCCACAAUUACUUUUGCACCAACCUAAUUAGGAUGCAGACUUCAGAGCCAUCUGCAUCAGAGGGAUUGAUGAAGAUCAGCAAAGUUUGGGAACACAGGAAAGGAGAGGGGAGGGUAAUGACUUGAGGGCAUAGCAGGGAUAAUCAAGGUUUUUCCUGUUAGCAUGUGGAGACUUAAGCAUGAUUAUAUGUUAAUCGCCUGGCACAUACAUGGUGCGAAAUAUUUAUGAGUGAAAUGACAAGUGAAGGUGGUGAGUCAUGGGAGUUCCAAGGGAAUGGGUGAUAAAGGGAGGUCUCAAAUGAGGCACAAGUGGAGAAGGUAGCUUGGGAAAGGAGAAUGAUGCUUCUCCUUAUAAGAUGGGAAAGGCAGAGGAAGAGGGUCAAGAUACAGUGAUCUAGGGGUGAGAUGGAAGUGAGUUGAGAGAACUCAACUCUGGGCUCUGAAACCCCUAGGGAUGGGUUUGGGGGGCUUUGAGAUAUGGAAGAGGUUUAAAGUUAAUUAUUAUAGCAAAUAUGGUUUGGAAUUUAUUUGUCACGCUUAAAAAUAUUGCUGAACAGAAGUGAAGUCUACCCUAGAGUUGGAUGGUGAGAUUAUUUAGUGGAACUACCAGAUCCAUGUUGUGAUUCUUCCCAGUAUCAUUCAGCAGCCCUUGGGCAGUUGCGAGGCAAGUCAUCAAUGGGGUAUGGAGAUUUUCCAGGUGGGUGUGGUUGAAGGCAGGGAAGAACGCGUUUAGGAGCACAUUACAAGAAGGUGACUGUAAGGUCCAGGCUGAGCAGGAAGGUAAAGCAAGAAGGAAACAUGAGGUUGUGAAGAGAAGUUUAGAGGGAUGAGGAGGCAGGAGAGGUGAACAGUUGCAGGAUGUAGCUAGAGUGGCGAUGUUAGAUCUAGGGGCCAGACAGCUUUACAAUGAUGAUGAAGAUCAAAGGGCAUUAGAAUCAAGCUAUAAAGAGCCACUGUUUGAUGUUGGGAUGUGAGGAUGCUGCAGGUGGAUGUGUGCACAUUGAUGGUGAGAACAUGGUCACCCUGGCCCUGCUGGGUCUUUGCUAAAAAGACUGUGCUCUGUUCUUGGGGCCGUUUUCAUCACCUGAUUAGAGCAGUGGUCCCCAAAUGGUGUUCUUUGGACCAUCUGUAUAAAAUGUUCAUAGGUCAAGGAUAAAAUGGAAAAACAGAGACUGUGUCACAGAAAUGUACCCACUGGUGAAAGACCACCAGCUGUCCUUUUUGGAGGAUUGUUCUUUAUUCUAAAAAUGUAUAUAUUCUGUUCUAUUAAAACAUUUUUGUAUUUGCAUUUUUUUUCUCUUUUAUGAAAUGCCAUGGGGUAGAACUUUGUAAUGUAUCCAAUUCUCCUGUCUUCAUGCAUUGCCCUGUGGUGGGGGAGGGGAUGUGGCUAGUACUGGCCAAGAGGCUGGGGGCAGAAGUGCAGUGUUAGACUUCUAGCCUGGAGUAUUUAAUUCCUAGUACAAGACUGUCUAGCAUUCUUCUCCCUCUGUUCCCUGCUUGGUGAUACUUGAGGUAUUGCAGCCCCCAUUAGCCUUAGUCUUAGGGCAAGUUUGAUGGGAAACAGAGCACCCCACACCUCCCUGCAGAUGAAGCAUGAGUGAGAAAAACAACUUCUGAUGUUUGAAGUUACCAAGAUUUAGGAGUUGUUUGUUAUUGCAGCAAAACCUCACCUAUUCUGACCAAUCAUGGUGGAAUUUCUGUGUGUAUGUGUGUGUGUGUGUGUGUUUGUGUGUGUGUGUGUAAAACUGGUAGUUUAAAAAAGUUCCUUCUUACCAAAAAGAAAAAAAAGUAGCAACCUUAUGUUGGUUCUCAAAUUAAUAAAAUAUUUUUACUGGUUUAUAAAAUAGAAAAAUCUGAGAAUCUGUAGCUUAGAGAACUACAGUGUGGGAUGCCUAUAAAGACCAGGUUAUUUUAUCAGCUCCUAACACCCCUUAAUAGAAGCUUAGCCAAGACUUGGACUAUUUCAGUAUUUCCCAUUCCACAUUCCAUGGACUCUUGAAGAGACAUUGAUGAAACGGUGCAGCCAUGAACCACCCUCACUCAAUCCUAGUGGCAGAAUCCCCCUUUUACUGCAGAAUGAGCUUCUUGCUACAGUGAUACUUGAACCCCUUAGAUAUAUCCUGUACUAAUUAUAUUAAAACACGACCAAUGCUUUUGCUUUGUUGUCCCCCAAAUUAAACACCUUAAUCAUGAGAACCCAGAGAAUUGGAUUUAGUGUGACCGAUUCCAAACUGUCAGUAAGAACACAAUUAGGUUAUAUUUUUCUCCAGUUCAAAUAAAAGAAAAUUGACAAUAAAAUGCUGAUCAAUAUGUGUAGCUCAGGAGGUAGAGCCUGCUUUGAGAUGCAGAAGUGUUUGUUUUUUUUAGAUCCAUAUUCUUCAGUAAAGAAAAAAUCCAUCUCUCUUUCCUAGAGGGGAAGACUUUCAGAGCUGGGCUUGGCAACAGCCUAUCAGAGGCUGAAUUAAACAAAUAGGUACCUCCCUGGAGUGAAUGGUGCAUUUCUCCUAUUCGGGGAACCGUGCUUUUAUGGUGGAGUUUGCUUUCUGUCUUGGUCUCCGGAUGUGUGUAUCUGUGGAUUGAUGUCUGCAUGUAAAUGGCAAUGUAUACCUGUGUGGGUGUGUAGAAAAUUCCCAUGUGAAUCUCAGGUUUGUGGGGAUCUCCAGGUCUUGAGCCCAGAAGAUGCCAGUUGAAGAAAAGUCACUUGAAAAUGAGACAGAAAGAACGGAAACUAAAUCCUAGCUCUAAAGGCACCAGGCUGAUUAAAAACAAAACUCUGGAUCUUCUUUGUUUUGGACUCUACCUACCUCCAAAUGACAUUUCUGUUUCCUCUGAAAUGAUUAGAAUGACAGAGAUCCUGAGCACGAAAGAGCAGAUACUGUGUGAUUCUGUGUAUGUCAGGGUGUCAGCUGUGAGGCUGCUGACAUUUCGGCUCAGCAAUUUCUCUGUUGUAUGUGUGGGGGUUCCCUGUGCAUUUUAGGAUGUUGAGCGGCAUGCCUGGAUCCCUGGAGUCACUGGAU